rnacentral:rRNA from 1 species
CGGGUGAGUAACACGUAUCCAACCUGCCGUCUACUCUUGGACAGCCUUCUGAAAGGAAGAUUAAUACAAGAUGGCAUCAUGAGUCCGCAUGUUCACAUGAUUAAAGGUAUUCCGGUAGACGAUGGGGAUGCGUUCCAUUAGAUAGUAGGCGGGGUAGCGGCCCACCUAGUCUUCGAUGGAUAGGGGUUCUGAGAGGAAGGUCCCCCACAUUGGAACUGAGACACGGUCCAA